AGAGUUUGAUCCUGGCUCAGGAUGAACGCUAGCUACAGGCUUAACACAUGCAAGUCGAGGGGCAGCAUGACCUAGCAAUAGGUUGAUGGCGACCGGCGCACGGGUGAGUAACACGUAUCCAACCUACCGGUUAUUCCGGGAUAGCCUUUCGAAAGAAAGAUUAAUACCGGAUAGUAUAACGAGAAGGCAUCUUUUUGUUAUUAAAGAAUUUCGAUAACCGAUGGGGAUGCGUUCCAUUAGUUUGUUGGCGGGGUAACGGCCCACCAAGACAUCGAUGGAUAGGGGUUCUGAGAGGAAGGUCCCCCACAUUGGAACUGAGACACGGUCCAAACUCCUACGGGAGGCAGCAGUGAGGAAUAUUGGUCAAUGGACGAGAGUCUGAACCAGCCAAGUAGCGUGAAGGAUGACUGCCCUAUGGGUUGUAAACUUCUUUUAUAUGGGAAUAAAGUGAGCCACGUGUGGCUUUUUGUAUGUACCAUACGAAUAAGGAUCGGCUAACUCCGUGCCAGCAGCCGCGGUAAUACGGAGGAUCCGAGCGUUAUCCGGAUUUAUUGGGUUUAAAGGGAGCGUAGGCGGACUAUUAAGUCAGCUGUGAAAGUUUGCGGCUCAACCGUAAAAUUGCAGUUGAUACUGGUCGUCUUGAGUGCAGUAGAGGUAGGCGGAAUUCGUGGUGUAGCGGUGAAAUGCUUAGAUAUCACGAAGAACUCCGAUUGCGAAGGCAGCUUACUGGACUGUAACUGACGCUGAUGCUCGAAAGUGUGGGUAUCAAACAGGAUUAGAUACCCUGGUAGUCCACACAGUAAACGAUGAAUACUCGCUGUUUGCGAUAUACGGCAAGCGGCCAAGCGAAAGCAUUAAGUAUUCCACCUGGGGAGUACGCCGGCAACGGUGAAACUCAAAGGAAUUGACGGGGGCCCGCACAAGCGGAGGAACAUGUGGUUUAAUUCGAUGAUACGCGAGGAACCUUACCCGGGCUUAAAUUGCAAAUGAAUAUAGUGGAAACAUUAUAGCCGCAAGGCAUUUGUGAAGGUGCUGCAUGGUUGUCGUCAGCUCGUGCCGUGAGGUGUCGGCUUAAGUGCCAUAACGAGCGCAACCCUU
rnacentral:rRNA from 1 species